rnacentral:rRNA from 1 species
UACGAAGGGGGCUAGCGUUGUUCGGAAUUACUGGGCGUAAAGCGCACGUAGGCGGAUACUUAAGUUAGGGGUGAAAUCCCAGAGCUCAACUCUGGAACUGCCUUUAAUACUGGGUAUCUCGAGUCCGAGAGAGGUGAGUGGAAUUCCGAGUGUAGAGGUGAAAUUCGUAGAUAUUCGGAGGAACACCAGUGGCGAAGGCGGCUCACUGGCUCGGUACUGACGCUGAGGUGCGAAAGCGUGGGGAGCGAACCGG